rnacentral:tRNA from 1 species
CGCCUGUAGUUCAAUGGAUAGAGCGUCAGCCUCCGAAGCUGAAAAUAUGGGUUCGAUUCCCCUCAGGCGCA